rnacentral:lncRNA from 1 species
UUGGAGAUAGCUUUCAGUUUGAAAGGCUAGGUAAAUUCAAGAACCCCUUAGUUGUUACUUUAGUGAAAUGUUAAGGUAUUAUUGGUAUUAGGCACCGUUAUACAUGACAUAUUCUACUUGGAAUAUGAUGUAUGAAACUGAUGUAUUUAUGUAUGAUCAUUGAAGUAAUGAUUAAUAUUGCUUACAGAAUAAAAGAUGCAAUUGUGAAGAUUAUGUGUGCUGGUGUAGUUGUUGGACUUCUAACUUUAGCUGGCUUGAAGUAUUUACCAUUUAGGAGCAGCUCUGCCGUUCUACGUAAAGAUAUGGGUUCAGCAAUGGCUUUUAAAGUGCAACCAUUCAUGCUGAGCCUUUUAUUCUUCUGGCUACAUGAGGCUUAUUCAUGGCUCUUUUCCUUUCUUGUAUUUUUUUAGAAGAGAUGUGACUUGACUAGUUUUUAUUUUUUGGAUGUAGCAAUUUGAAACUGUAAACGAAUGGUAUUAUUGGGAUGUAUUUUGAAUGGUUGAUACAUUUUGGCUAUAUAUCAUGGCAUUAGCA